rnacentral:rRNA from 1 species
UUUGGAGAGUUUGAUCUUGGCUCAGGACAAACGCUGGCGGCGUGCUUAACACAUGCAAGUCGAACGAUGAAGGAAGAGCUUGCUUUUCUGGAUUAGUGGCGAACGGGUGAGUAACACGUGAGUAACCUGCCCUCUUCUUUGGGAUAACGGUCGGAAACGGCUGCUAAUACUGGAUAUUCACUCAUUGGCGCAUGUUGGUGGGUGGAAAGGUUUUUUCUGGUGGGGGAUGGGCUCGCGGCCUAUCAGCUUGUUGGUGGGGUGAUGGCCUACCAAGGCUUUGACGGGUAACCGGCCUGAGAGGGUGACCGGUCACAUUGGGACUGAGAUACGGCCCAGACUCCUACGGGAGGCAGCAGUGGGGAAUUUUGCACAAUGGGCGCAAGCCUGAUGCAGCGACGCCGCGUGAGGGAUGAAGGCCUUCGGGUUGUAAACCUUUUUCGCUCAUGGUCAAGCCAUACUGUUGGGUGUGGUGAGGGUAGUGGGUAAAGAAGCGCCGGCUAACUACGUGCCAGCAGCCGCGGUAAA